rnacentral:rRNA from 1 species
CCUCAAAUCGGGUGAGACUACCCGCUGAACUUAAGCAUAUCAAUA